rnacentral:lncRNA from 1 species
CAGCACUAGUGAUUGCCACACCAGGACUCAACAAAGGGAUGGCAACGGUGGAUGAAGACGCCACAACAGAACUUGUCAAAGUAGUCGGCGCAUCAACUCCAGCAGCAAGAGUAACCUCCCAAAUAGGUACGACAGGAGGAGGUGGAGGAGCAGGAGUAGCAGUAACAACAGUGGCAGAAGCAGGAGCCACUGCAACUGCUAGAGUCGAAGGCACAUCUUACAAACUCGAAGGGCGAUCCACACCGGGCGUCAACCCUACAGCUUGCCUCGGGGCGGGAAGGCUCA